CUUCCCCCCCGUCCCCCCACCCCGUCCCCCCUCCCCGUCCGUGCCCAGCGAGCAGGUGAGCCGGCGGCAGUCGCAGGUUGACCGGCUGUACGUGUCUCUGAAGGAGCUGGUGGAGGAGCGCAAGGGCAAGCUGGAGCAGCAGUAUUGGCUCUACCAGCUCGGCCGCGAGGUGGGUGAGCUGGAGCACUGGAUCGCCGAGAAGGAGGUGGUGGCCGGCUCGCCCGAGCUGGGGCAGGACUACGAGCACGUCACGGUGAGCGGGGGGCAGGGGGCUGGGGGUGGCCUGGUUCCAUCCUCGGGGGGCCCGGCGCCGCUCCUGCUCCGUGCUGGGGUUCCUGGGGUUGUCUUUGUGCGGUGCUGGGGGUCCUGGAUUGAUCCCUGCUCCAUGCUGGGGGUCCUGGGGUUGUCUUUGUGCAGUGCUGGGGGUCCUGGAUUUAUCCCUGCUCCAUCCUGGGGGUCCUGGGGAUCACUGCUCCUCCAUGCUGGGGGUGCUGGGGGUGUUCUUGUCUCAUUCUGGGGGACCUGGGGGUGUCCUUGUCCCAUCCUGGGGGUCCUGACACUGUUCCUGCUCCAUGCUGGGGGUCCUGGGGUUGUUCUUGUGCCAUGCUGGGGGUCCUGGGCAUCAUCACUGCCCUGUACUGGGAGUCCUGGGGUUGUCUCUGGGCAGUGCUGGGGGUCCUGGGGAUCAUGGCUCCUCCAUACUGGGGGUCCUGGGGCUGUCCUUGUCCCAUCCUGGGGGUCCUGGGGUUCUUCCUGCUCCAUCCCGGGUGUCCUGGGGCCGUCCCCAUCCCAUUCUGGUGCUCCUGGCGUCAUUCCUGCUCCACGCACCGCAACCCCAGCCCCAAGCCGCGGUGCCGUCCCCCGUCCCCAUCGCCUCCCUGACCCCCAUCCUGCCGUCCCGUGUCCUCCCCCCCCUCCAGCUGCUGCAGGAGAAGUUCCUGGAGUUCGCCAGCGAGACGGGCAGCGUGGGGCAGGAGCGCAUCUCGGCCGUCAACCAGAUGGUGGACGAGCUGAUCGACUACGGCCACGCCGACGCCGCCACCAUCGCCGAGUGGAAGGACGGCGUCAACGAGGCCUGGGCCGACCUCCUGGAGCUGAUGGAGACGCGGGCGCAGCUCCUGGCCGCCUCCCACGAGCUCCACAAGUUCUUCAGCGACUGCAAGGAGCUGCUGGGGCAGAUCGAGGAGAAGCGGCGCCGCCUCCCCGAGCUGGCGCCCAAGGACGCGCCGCGAGCCUCGGCCGGGGCCUUGCAGCGGGCGCUGAGCGCCUUCGAGCACGACGUGGAGGUGCUGGUGGGCCAAAUCCGGCAGCUGCAGGAGGGGGCGGCACAGCUCAGGACCGUCUACGCCGGGGACAACGCCGAGGCCAUCGCCAGCCGGGAGCAGGAGGUGCUGAGCGCCUGGAAGGAGCUGCUGGGUGCCUGCGAGGAGUGCCGGCUGCACGUGGCCAGCGCCGCCGACCGCGUCCGCUUCGCCGGCACCGUGCGCGACCUGGUGUCCUGGAUGGAUGGCGUGCUCUGCCAGAUCGGCGCCGGGGAGAAGCCCAGGUUUGGGGGGGGUCCUCGCCACCCCCCCCCCGCCCCCCGUGGGGACAGGGACACGGGAGAGGGAUCAGCACCAGGAGCCCUGGUCUGGUCCAGCCACAGGGCUGUGCGUUGUCCCCGUCCCAAGGACCCAAGUUGGGGCCCCAUCCCAAUUUGUCCCCAUCCCAGUGGCCCAAAUUUUGUCCCCAUCCCAAUUUGUCCCCAUCCCAAGGACCCAAAUU
rnacentral:lncRNA from 1 species